rnacentral:rRNA from 1 species
UCGGGAAUUUUGGGCAAUGGGGGAAACCCUGACCCAGCAACGCCGCGUGAAGGAUGAAGUAUUUCGGUAUGUAAACUUCGAAAGAAUAGGAAGAAUAAAUGACGGUACUAUUUAUAAGGUCCGGCUAACUACGUGCCAGCAGCCGCGGUAAUACGUAGGGACCAAGCGUUGUUCGGAUUUACUGGGCGUAAAGGGCGCGUAGGCGGCAUGACAAGUCACUUGUGAAAUCUCUGGGCUUAACCCAGAACGGCCAAGUGAUACUGUCGCGCUAGAGUGCAGAAGGGGCAAUCGGAAUUCUUGGUGUAGCGGUGAAAUGCGUAGAUAUCAAGAGGAACACCUGAGGUGAAGACGGGUUGCUGGGCGGUUACUGACACUGAGGGACGAAAGCAAGGGGAGCAAACAGGAUUAGAUACCCACGUAGUCCCUGAGCGGGCUGGCAAGGCGCAU